AGCUUCAAUAGUGUAUAUUAAAGUUGUUGUAGUUAAAAAGCUCUUAGUUGAAUUUCUGGCUGGGCAUGUGGGUUUGCUCUUACAAGUGUGUGGCAUACAUGUCUGGCCAUCCUUUGGGAGAGCCACAGUAGCAUUAAGUUGUUGGUGUGGGGAUCCCAAUCCUUUACUAUGAUGAAAUUAGAGUGUUCAAAGCAGGCUUACACCGUUGAAUAUAUUAGCACGGAAUAACAGCAUAGGAAUAUUGUACUAUUUUGUUGAUUUGCGCACAAUAGUAAUGGUUAACAGGAACAGUUGGGGGUGUUUGUGUUUCAUUGUCAGAUGUGAAAUUCUGGAUUUUUGGAAGAAGAACUACUGCAAAAGCAUUUACCAAAUAUGUUUUCA
rnacentral:rRNA from 1 species